CAGCAGCCGCCGCGGUAACACGAAGGGGGCUAGCGUUGCUCGGAAUCACUGGGCGUAAAGGGUGCGUAGGCGGGUCUUUAAGUCAGGGGUGAAAUCCUGGAGCUCAACUCCAGAACUGCCUUUGAAACUGAAGAUCUUGAGUUCGGGAGAGGUGAGUGGAACUGCGAGUGUAGAGGUGAAAUUCGUAGAUAUUCGCAAGAACACCAGUGGCGAAGGCGGCUUACUGGCUCGAAACUGACGCUGAGGCGCGAAAGCGUGGGGAGCAAACAGGAUUAGAUACCCGAGUAGUCCCUGUCUCUUAUAA
rnacentral:rRNA from 1 species